rnacentral:lncRNA from 1 species
CCAUUUGCUUAUGUCACAAUCCCUGUCUGCCUCCCAUAUCGCACCAGGCCAGGUAGGUGGCAGGGUGAGAUCUGGGCUGACGGACACGCCAUGCCUUCAUAGGACCAGCUCCAGAGGAGUGUGGCAUUGAGCCGUCCUGAAGGGUUAGCUGUCACUCGUCGCCUUUCAGGUUAUGAUGUGGAUUUCAGAAGCUAUUUCUCUUUGCUUGGUGCUUUUUCUGCAGCUUGGGCAAGUUGACUUCAAGGGAACAAAAUCGACCAAGAUCUCUGCCCCCUCAGAGCUUAUAAUCUGGAAGGGGGAGAUGGACAACGGACACUAAAAUGAAUAAAUGUGGACCCUUCUCAAGAGGGCCCAGCCUGCCCUUCAAGAAGCUUUGGGCCUAGGAUCUCGCAAGAGGCUCUAACUUUCUGUAAGGCCAUUCAUCAGGCUGCUUGCUGCCAGACCAAGAGUGUUUCCAGCUAUAUAGGUACAGUAAUUCUUUAAUAGGCUGUGGGCCUGUUUCAUUCCUAGGGAGGCUGUGAUCAAUUAGCUAUUGCCAAAAGUCCCAUACAGUCAAAACAUUCUGAUAGCCACUUCCUCUCAGUUUCCCAGGAUGGUGAUGACACCAACCUUGCUUCUGGUGAUUAAGUUCUACCACCUGGCCUCUGUUACUUCCACAUCCCAUUAAUUCCGUUAAAAUAAUGAAGCCAUUAAAAUAGCA